GAAUGCAUUGUAGAAAGCACUGAAUUUAUAGAAUUCAGUCAGGCGGAUAUUAGGUUACCUAUUCCAACGAUGACGGUGAAAUGAAAAGGAUGCUGUCUGUGAAGCUGGUGAAAAGGAAGUCAAAAUUUCUUUUGAGGAUAGACGUCUUGAUGGACUGGUUGUAAAUGCUGAGAAAAAUGGAAACAUCUCAGAUGUCAGACACUGCUUUUCUCUUUUGUCUUAUCAAAGGAGAGCUGAGAAGGAAUCAGUUGUAGAUAUGAUUUGAAGCUAUGGGUUGAAGUCAGGUUAGAAUAUGUUAAAAUUGCAAGGCAUCAGCAUACAAAUCCCAUGUUUAAAGCCUUGAGAAUAGAUGAGAUCAUCCAUGAAGAGAGUAUGAUAUAGAAGAGUAGAGGGCCAAAGAUUUAGCUCUAGGGCCAAUAACACUUAGAAUUGGUUGACUGGAGGAAGAAAAGCCAGGAAACGUCUCUCAUUAGAAGCAGCCAUUGAAGCAGAAUGAAAAGCAGAAGACUGUGUUCCUGAAAGCCAACAAACAAUAUUUUUAGGAGUAAGUAGUCAGUUAUGUCAAACGCUGCUGAAACAUUGAAUACCUUGAUAAAAAGAAUUAAUCAUUGGAUUUAAGAAAGGUAGAAGGUCUCUGGUGCCUUUGCAGCAAAAUUUUAGUGGGAGUAGUGGGGCAAAUUCCCAACAGAAAGGAGCUUGAAAAGAUACACAAUGUGGGUGUGACAGGGUUGUGGGUUGAGAUCGAAUAGAAUUGACAACUAUUGACAAUCCCUUGUGAGAUGUUUUUCUGUAAAUGGAAGUAGAGAAGAGAUCUCUUCUUCAUCUUAAUAUCUGUUUAUGGGGGCACUGCCCUGGUAUGGACUCUGUCAUCACCAGGCUCCUUUGCUCCGUUGAGAACAGGUUAGAAAUAGGACUUUAGAAAAAUUCUGAAUCAGUGGGAGUGGUUUUAGUGCUGCACAUUUCUACCCCAUUAAUAUGCAAAAGCUUAUGAGAAUUUGAAAGCGAUUUUACAAAAAAUAGUUCAAUUAAGAAGACACAGGGGGAGUUCCUGUCAUGGCUCAGAGGUUAAUGAACCUGACUAGCAUGCCUGGCCUCACUCAGUGUGUUAAGGAUCCAGCAUUGCCGUGAGCUGUGAUGUAGGUCGCAGACAUAGCUGGGAUCCCGCAUUGCCANAAAAAAACCAAAAAAAAAAAAAAAAAGGAGAAAGAAAGAAAGAAAAAAAAGAAAACACAGAGAACUAUACUCGAUAUCUUCUAAUGAGCUAUAAUGGAAGAGAAUAUAAAAUACUAUAUAUUUAUAUAUAUAUACACAUGUAAUUGAAUUGCUCUGCUGCAUACCUGAAACUAACACAAUAUUGUAAAUCAACUAUAUUUAAAUAAAAAUUAAAACAGUGGAGUUUCCUUGUGGCA
rnacentral:lncRNA from 1 species